UACGUAGGGUGCGAGCGUUAAUCGGAAUUACUGGGCGUAAAGCGUGCGCAGGCGGUUUUGUAAGCCAGAUGUGAAAUCCCCGGGCUUAACCUGGGAAUGGCAUUUGGGACUGCAAGGCUCGAGUGCGGCAGAGGAGACUGGAAUUCCUGGUGUAGCGGUGAAAUGCGCAGAUAUCAGGAGGAACACCGAUGGCGAAGGCAGCUCGCUGGGACGGUACUGACGCUGAGACGCGAAAGCGUGGGGAGCGAACAGG
rnacentral:rRNA from 1 species